CCUACGGGGGGCAGCAGUAGGGAAUCUUCCGCAAUGGACGAAAGUCUGACGGAGCAACGCCGCGUGAGUGAAGAAGGCCUUCGGGUUGUAAAGCACUUUCAGCGGGGAGGAAGGCGGUGAGGUUAAUAACCUCAUCGAUUGACGUUACCCGCAGAAGAAGCACCGGCUAACUCCGUGCCAGCAGCCGCGGUAAUACGGAGGGUGCAAGCGUUAAUCGGAAUUACUGGGCGUAAAGCGCACGCAGGCGGUCUGUCAAGUCGGAUGUGAAAUCCCCGGGCUCAACCUGGGAACUGCAUUCGAAACUGGCAGGCUAGAGUCUUGUAGAGGGGGGUAGAAUUCCAGGUGUAGCGGUGAAAUGCGUAGAGAUCUGGAGGAAUACCGGUGGCGAAGGCGGCCCCCUGGACAAAGACUGACGCUCAGGUGCGAAAGCGUGGGGAGCAAACAGGAUUAGAUACCCUGUAGUC
rnacentral:rRNA from 1 species